ensembl:lncRNA
AUUAUACAACAUGCAGUCUGCCAGAGUACCCAUACAUCUUCAUUUUAGAACCUAGAAGAUUACCAAAAUUUUCCGCGGGCCAAAGGAGGGUGACUUCCAGAUCUUUUGUUACAUGGACUAUAGUACAGCAUCAUUAUUGAUAUAAACCACCAUUCUCCCCUCAAACCCCCCAGACAAGUUUGUCCACAAUUUUUUAAAUGUGAAAGCUACUGUACAGAUACAUAAAGCCCAGAGAACACACAUCUGCAGUACACAGGACGCACUUUACAAACUAGACAUGGAUAAUUCUACAGAAUGCCCUAUUCCCCUUAUAUCUGCACACAAUGAACAGUAUUUAAAAUUGAUACACAAUUUUUAAAUAAGUAAGCAGACUUCAUGGAGCGGCGCUUCCUUUGGCAGUUAUCCAGCCAUUAUUCAAUGCUUGGUUUAAAAAGUCUAAAUUGUUAGUGUUAAAUGAAGCAAUUUUAGAUUACGAUGGUUUCUUUAGCUUGCUCAAGAUUCUGGACUAGACAAUGAAGUGAAAUCUUCCCUCCACCCUCGGCCUUUCCCAAUAUGUCAUAUAGCUAGAGUCCAAAUGUCUCCUGCCCUGCUUUAAAAAAUGCACUUCAAAAGAGGGGAUUGUUAAGAACUUUUAUUUGCUUUCAGUUAUUUCUAUAGGAACUAGAGCUUCUUUAUGUAAACUUUAGGGCUUUAAAAAAGUCACUAGAUGCUACAUUCUAGGCAAACCUUUUUAUUUCUUCAUUUAUCCCAGUGUAUCUAUAAAUUCUGAUUUCUUAAUCACAUGGUUCUAUUUCCUUUAAAAGUCUUAAUGUGAAACUGUUAUUUUUCUAUCUACUACCUGCUGUUUAACAAAAGUGAAGUGUGCAGCAUUUGAAGAGAUGAUAUGUUUGCACAGAAUUCUCUAGUAAUUGACAAAAACACAUUUGGCAUUAUGUAUUUUAGUUUCCAACCAUAAAUCUUGAUAUCUCAAACAACAUUCUCCUAAUUUACCAAUCCACCAUCCUGCAGAUAAAGAUUAUUCGUAUAAACCAUCUGGCUGUUCUCUUAGAGCAUCAAAGAGUAAACUUUGAAGAAGUAGCAUGAAAUAUAAAAUUAUUCAUAGAGGAGAAAAAGACACAAUACACACUUGUCAAAAGCUGCAUAUAACCAAAAUCAUAAUCACGAGCUUAGUUGUUCAGAAGUGUGGUUUUUACACUUAAAGUACAGGGAGCAAUAGUCUAAAAACCUGAAAAUUGCACAUACGUGGCUUUUUUAGAAAGUGGCCUACAGAGAACAUGGUCCUGAUAUAAUAACUGGCUUACUAUACAUAACAAUAUUUAAGGAUCCAUUUGAAUAAUCCAUUCCAAUAAUUUGCCUUCCUUUUAGUCACAGUAUAGGAAAAUUAGAUUAGAAGUCCUAUAAAGAUUGAAGCUAGGUGAACUGACUGGCUGAUCAGCAACUAGCAGAAUUAUCUUUAAGAGACAUCAAAGCCAACUUUCUCUGUGAAUAAAAGUAAAGCGAAUGUUGUCAGUCCCUUGUAGAGAUCAAGCAAAAUGGAACUACAAGUGAAUGUUUCCCUUUGAAACAUGAAAGUGCCAAGCAAUUCUUUAGAACUAGAAAGGGGGUACCCAGGGAAAAAUCACUCUGGAGAGAAUCUAAAACAAUCUAUUUUAUGAUGGAUAUUAACAAGAGCCAAACACCAUUACUGACCUUUGUUCAAUUUCCAAACAAAAAGUAAUGGAGAGUAGUUGUAAUGACAAUUAAUAAUUGGCAAUUAUCCCAAACACCAAUGUUUUAGCUGCCCAAAUCAGAAGCAAACAUAUUAACAAGGUUAUGUGGCAUAUGUUAUUACCUGAUAAACUUUGCAAAACCUGCCCCACAAGGACCCUUUUAUCAGACUGCAAAUAAUGAUGGAGCAGGUAUAUUGGGCUGGCACUGAUAACAAAAUUAAAGAAUGAAAAAAAUUUAAACAAAUGCAAAAUUGCCAUCUUCACGAAAUAAAUACUUCAAUAGUUUGUCCUCCUCCCUCUCCUUAUUCCCCCCCAAAAACAAAACAUACAUAAACAAAGUGCAACAUUUAACAAAUAAAUUAAGUCAAAGCAGGUUUGCUUUGCUCGGGAAAUUUUAUACAAGAAAUGUUUGGAUGUCAAUGCACAGUUCUUAGCACUCUACACACACACACACACACACACACACACACACAGUUGAACUACCUUCGACUCACACAGUCAUGAGAAAAGCCCGAAAUCUCCCCUAGCAUAUAUUUCAUUACAGUGGUGAAAGCUUCAGGGCACAGUGCCAGCUCCUCAUCUUGGGCACACAACACGAUAGGAUAGGAGCUUUCACCGAGAUUGGUUUGGUUGUCAUUGACUUACCCCC